AACGAACGCUGGCGGCGUGGAUAAGACAUGCAAGUCGAACGAGACAAAGUUUGUAGUAAUACAAAUUUUGUUUAGUGGCGCACGGGUGCGUAACACGUGAGUAAUCUACCGAAAAGUGGGGGAUAGUUCGCCGAAAGGCGAAUUAAUACCGCAUGUGGCUAAGGAUGACAUCCUUCUGAAGCCAAAGCAGCAAUGCGCUUUUUGAUGAGCUCGCGGCCUAUCAGCUAGAUGGCGGGGUAACGGCCCACCAUGGCUAUGACGGGUAGCUGGUCUGAGAGGACGACCAGCCACACUGGAACUGAGACACGGUCCAGACACCUACGGGUGGCAGCAGUCGAGAAUUUUUCACAAUGGGGGAAACCCUGAUGGAGCGACGCCGCGUGGUGGACGAAGGCCUUCGGGUCGUAAACUCCUGUCAUGCGGGAACAAGAAAGUGAUAGUACCGCAAGAGGAAGGGACGGCUAACUCUGUGCCAGCCGCCGCCGUAAGAC
rnacentral:rRNA from 1 species